rnacentral:lncRNA from 1 species
UCUAUUUAGUGCUUGCAAAUAUAAUAGAAUACAAAUUCCUUUAUAAUGUUACAUAUUCAAUUGAAUUAUUUAAAAAUAUACAUAAAGGCAAUAUAUUAGUUAAAAGUUAAGCUGAGCCCAAAUCCUCUAUAUAAAGUGAGGCUAUUACAAUAGAAGAUCAAGCUGAACAAAAAUUAAUAUCCUUAUGUAGCUCAUCAUCUCAAGUUACUCAAUUUGUAGUAAAUCAUGACUUUGUCUCUUCUUUACCUGCUUCAUUUCUUUUCCUCCUCAUCAUCCCUAUAACUGUAAUAAUUUAUAUCCAUCUUUUUCUAUAGAUCAUACCUACAUAAAAGUUUUGUCGGACAACAUUAGUAGAAAAGGAAAGAAGAAAAGAAAGAGCAUAAACAGUCAUAAGGUCACAAACUGAUUCAACUAUGAGUCAUAUAUAUAUAUAUAUAUAUAUAUAUAUAAAGAAAAAAGAAUAAUAUUAGAGGGAAAAUGAAGCCAAUAUAAAGAGAAUAACAUUAAGGGGAAAUAUUUUAACAAUGAGGUCCUACACAAACUUCCAGUGCCUCUAUAGAUUUUAUAUAUAGUCAAGAACUUAGAAAUAUUUGAAACAUACAUACCUUUUAUAUUUAACUUUUCAUAACAAUGGGAGCAUAAGAAUACACAUUAGUAUAUAGCAGUUUCAUGCUUAUUAUCCAACUAUAAAUAGAAACAAAAAGACAUGAAAGCAAAAUUCAGUAUCAAAUAGAAAACAUAAGAAGUAUUGAGAUGCCACUAUUAAUAUGAGCAACCACCUUAAACUUGAAAUCAUUUCUAUCACAAGAUCAACUGCUAGGUCAGAUCGUUUAUGGUAAAACUGUCAACAUUACUUGGUUCUAACUUGUGCAACACUGACUGUAUAAAUAGCCCAUUUCACAUCCACAAUAUUCACAUCUCCAAAACACGAAGCACAUACUUCAACAAUUGUUUGAGUUCUACAGCUAACACUUUCCAGCCAAAAUAGUAUUAAACAAAAUAUUUAUAUCGUCAAUAGAAAGAUUAUAUCAUCAAUAGAAAUACAGUUGACACUUGAUAUAAAUCAAAACCACACAUGUAAUCAAAAGUAGCAAUACAAAUAGUUUCACCGUCACACAAUCAUUGAGGAAGAAUAAAGCAUAUUAUGUACUAAAUCCUAAGCGAGAGAAAAUUUUAGAGUAGUGUUUUAUUCAUCAAAAUAAAAUAUCACAAGGUUUUAGCUUAUGCUUCGUCGAUUGAAUUCGAGAAAUAAUGCAUAAAAUAUCACAAGGUGUGUAAAAGAAAAGGUAAACAUACGAGAUGCAAAUUACCUCCAUUUCAAUUAUAUGACC